UAUCUUAUACACAUGCGUGAGCGCACCAAACACCUAAAAUUGUAAUACUACCAGUCACUAAGUUUUAACAAAACAAAACUUUCAACAACGGAUCUCUUGGUUCUCGCAUCGAUGAAGAGCGCAGCGAAAUGCGAUACCUAGUGUGAAUUGCAGCCAUCGUGAAUCAUCGAGUUCUUGAACGCACAUUGCGCCCCAUGGUAUUCCAUGGGGCAUGCCUGUCUGAGCGUCGUUUCCUUCUUGCGCAAGCAGAGUUGAGAACAGGCUAUGCCUUUUUCGAAAUGGAACGUCGUGGACGAAGUGAACUAAAUUUUUAGCACGCUUUGGCCGCCGAACUUUUAACUAAGCUCGACCUCAGAUCAGGUAGGAAUACCCGCUGAACUUAAGCAUAUCAAUAAGCGGAGGAAAAGAAACCAACAGGGAUUGCCUCAGUAGCGGCGAGUGAAGCGGCAAGAGCUCAGAUUUGAAAUCUCACCUAGUGUGCGAGUUGUAAAUUGCAGGUUGGAGUCUCGGGUUAGACGUGUGUGCAAGUCCCUUGGAACAGGGUGCCACUGAGGGUGAGAGCCCCGUAGCGUGCAUGUCGACACCUGAG
rnacentral:rRNA from 1 species